rnacentral:rRNA from 1 species
GAUAAACGCUGGCGGCGUGCCUAAUACAUGCAAGUCGAGCGAACGGACGAGAAGCUUGCUUCUCUGAUGUUAGCGGCGGACGGGUGAGUAACACGUGGAUAACCUACCUAUAAGACUGGGAUAACUUCGGGAAACCGGAGCUAAUACCGGAUAAUAUUUUGAACCGCAUGGUUCAAAAGUGAAAGACGGUCUUGCUGUCACUUAUAGAUGGAUCCGCGCUGCAUUAGCUAGUUGGUAAGGUAACGGCUUACCAAGGCAACGAUGCAUAGCCGACCUGAGAGGGUGAUCGGCCACACUGGAACUGAGACACGGUCCAGACUCCUACGGGAGGCAGCAGUAGGGAAUCUUCCGCAAUGGGCGAAAGCCUGACGGAGCAACGCCGCGUGAGUGGUGAAGGUCUUCGGAUCGUAAAACUCUGUUAUUAGGGAAGAACAUAUGUGUAAGUAACUGUGCACAUCUUGACGGUACCUAAUCAGAAAGCCACGGCUAACUACGUGCCAGCAGCCGCGGUAAUACGUAGGUGGCAAGCGUUAUCCGGAAUUAUUGGGCGUAAAGCGCGCGUAGGCGGUUUUUUAAGUCUGAUGUGAAAGCCCACGGCUCAACCGUGGAGGGUCAUUGGAAACUGGAAAACUUGAGUGCAGAAGAGGAAAGUGGAAUUCCAUGUGUAGCGGUGAAAUGCGCAGAGAUAUGGAGGAACACCAGUGGCGAAGGCGACUUUCUGGUCUGUAACUGACGCUGAUGUGCGAAAGCGUGGGGAUCAAACAGGAUUAGAUACCCUGGUAGUCCACGCCGUAAACGAUGAGUGCUAAGUGUUAGGGGGUUUCCGCCCCUUAGUGCUGCAGCUAACGCAUUAAGCACUCCGCCUGGGGAGUACGACCGCAAGGUUGAAACUCAAAGGAAUUGACGGGGACCCGCACAAGCGGUGGAGCAUGUGGUUUAAUUCGAAGCAACGCGAAGAACCUUACCAAAUCUUGACAUCCUUUGACAACUCUAGAGAUAGAGCCUUCCCCUUCGGGGGACAAAGUGACAGGUGGUGCAUGGUUGUCGUCAGCUCGUGUCGUGAGAUGUUGGGUUAAGUCCCGCAACGAGCGCAACCCUUAAGCUUAGUUGCCAUCAUUAAGUUGGGCACUCUAAGUUGACUGCCGGUGACAAACCGGAGGAAGGUGGGGAUGACGUCAAAUCAUCAUGCCCCUUAUGAUUUGGGCUACACACGUGCUACAAUGGACAAUACAAAGGGCAGCGAAACCGCGAGGUCAAGCAAAUCCCAUAAAGUUGUUCUCAGUUCGGAUUGUAGUCUGCAACUCGACUACAUGAAGCUGGAAUCGCUAGUAAUCGUAGAUCAGCAUGCUACGGUGAAUACGUUCCCGGGUCU